UCGAAAAUUAAUAAAAACUAAAUUAACUAAUCUAAAAUUAAGAAUCCUAAAACUAUAAAUUAACUAAUUUAAAAUGAAGAAAUAUGUAAUCUAUAAGAGAUUGAUCCAUGGAUAUUCUUAGUUAUUCUUCUCUCCCUUAGACGGAGAGGGAAGUGGUGGAUGCUUGAAUUUUGGCCAUGGAUGAUAAGGAAACUUGUGACGGAAACCGCCAGAAGACAUGGGUGGAUGAGCAAAUGCCCAUGGUCGUGGAUGGAACCAUAGAUGACGCGGAUACCAAAACCACCAAUGUAACUCCUUAUCAACGGCUUCUGUAGUUGCAAUUUCCUUAUCAGCGGCUUCUGUAGUGGCAAUUCCAGACUUUGAAGAUGGAGACGCACGUGGUGGAUGCUUGAACCAUGGAUGAGAAGGAAACUUGUGGCGGAAACCACCAGAAGACAUAGGUGGAUGAGCAAAUGCCCAUGGACGUGGAUGGAACCAUCGAUGAUGAUACCACCCAAACCACCAAUCUGGUUCCAUAUUAGUUUCUGCAGUAUCAAUUUCAUCAUUUGAGAAUGAAUCAGGAUUCUCACUACUUGCUAAACAUAAGUUAACAAGUAGGAAAAUGCAGAUGAGAAAGGUAAUAAUGGAAUUUUCCUUAGUCAUAGCUAAUAGUAAAGUUUUUUUUUUUUUUUUUUUUUUUUUUGGG
rnacentral:lncRNA from 1 species